AUAAGCCCCUCUGUUAACUUUUGUUCAAGCCUGUCUAGAUCUUUUAUCAGUCUAGAAAGAUGUUGGAGAAAAGACAUCAUCCUCUUCUAUAAUCUCCAUCUGUAAUUGGACUAACAACUGGACCAGUGAAUGCAGGCAACUUACUCUCCAUUCGACCUUGCAGGUCACACCAUGGUCUCAAGAGGGAAAAUGAGUGCUCUAUGGAUUGAACAGAAAAGGUGAAUCAAAACUCCAACCAUCUGUAUGAGGGUCUGGAUGGAUAAAGGAUGCCCACUGGAGCUGGAAAUGAUGGAUCAGGUGGAUCCACACUUGAACCAUCUGUAUGAUGAUCUGCACCCACUGGAUCUGUAAAUGGUGGUGCAGAAAGACACAGCACAUCAUUAUAUCGUUGGCUCCGCCCACUGGUGUUCAGUCUAAAGUAGUAGUUGUUGACAAUCAUAAAGUUGUAAUAACAGUAAGAUUGUGAUGUCAGACAAACAUUGUGCUGUUGCUGGCUGUGGGAAAUUAGUGUCUUUGUAAGGGUCGCAAAUAAUUUGAAAAUAUUUAUGUUUCUAAAUAUGCCCCCCUACCAUGAACUAAACUGGACUGUUGCAGAGACCAAGUGUAGUAGGGUACACUACUAUGCAGAAUUCUGGCCUGGUGUUUGGUCCCCCCUUUCUCUGGCUUGUGUCUCCAUCAUCAUUACACUCUUGUCAGUGUAAUAGUAUCGUCGUCUGCAUACCAGGACUUUGUUACUCAGCUGUCCCUUCUCCUUCAAGCUACAUUUUUGUCAAGCUGCAACAAGUUGGAAUACAUAAUUAUUAACGUUUAAUGAUUUUGAUGUAUGAAAUAUGUAACAAAAGCAAAAAAUGUAUAGACAUUCUAUUAAGAAAUUACCUUUUUGUUGUUUGUUUACUGACCUUUCAACCAUAUUGCAUUUAUAAUUGAUCAUCAUACCUUUGGUCUACUGUUAACAGGCUACUGUAGAAAACAAAGUCAAACAAAAAAGAGAGAAAAAAUUAUAAAUGCUGAAUGUGUCUCAUCUUAAAUACAUUGUUGUUGUUUUUGUUUCAUUGAAUUUGGAUGUUUUGAUGAUUUAAGGAAAAUUUACGUAGCAUAUAUAUUGAUGUUUUAAAUCAGAGUUUGUUAAUGACACUUAAUCAUUAACAAACAUUUAAAAAGCUUUAUUACAAUACUAAUUGAUAAUAUUCAUGUAAUAAUCUUGUUUUGUAACACCCUAAAUCACUGAGCGCACAAACGCUACCCCUGUUACAAGCAUGAGUGAUUGACUUCAGGCACACAUGCGCAAACAUUGAAGUACCGCGAGAGUGAUUCAAAAGCCCACGAAACCGUGUAAUCACGCGGUACUGUGAUGUCAUACUGGUUAAGGCUAAGCCACGUGAAGCCUGACACAAGGGCUACACUAAUCUUUGGGCUGGAGUAGCCUGUGGCUUCGUGUCUCAUCGCGUUAAACGAUCGCAGAACGAUUUAUUUCUCUUUUUCACCUCGAUCUUUGGCCUCGUGUGAUUUACCAAAACCAACAUGUGAAGUUACAACGCUGACGAAGGAGUUUCAUCAGUAGAGUGUGUCCUGGAAAACGUGUGCUCGGAAACAUGCAGAAUACAGUAUUUACAGAGCCGACCUUGAGGCACCCACUGAUGGAUAAUCUGUUUACCUAAAAACAGCCCACCACAAUCCAUGUUUACCAGCUGUGAAAGUGCAGGCCAAAAAUCUUCCUUCACCUGUGGGCCUCUACCCACAUGUAGAUAAGCAUUUCAGGAGAAACCUGCCUGUGAUCUGCUAAG